UGUCAAUGGAAGUUUCAUUUCAAAUUCUUUUCAUGUUUCAUUUGAAACAAUUACAACAACUCAGAUGAACAUAUGAAAGACAAAUAAUUGGGAAAAUCAUAUUGCCAGUGCCACAUCAGUAAAUGCCAUGCCGUUUGCUUCAUCUCUGCUGCAGAGGCUCACCAAAAAUCCUACCCCGCAUCCGGCAUCUCUCUAGAUCAACUCCCUAAACUCUGCCCUGUAAACAGACUCACUUACCUCUUUAAUCUAAAAGAACAAAUCUCCGAACCUUCACAACCCAGAGGGGUCGCACAGGUUUAGGUGGCUCUUUUUUUUUUGGAUUCUUUGUGGAAACAAAUACAUCAA